GGAUCACUUCCGAAACCACUUCGCCCUCAGCCCCUGCCUCGGCCAGAGGUUUCAUUUUUAACUGAAUAUUUACGAAAGCUGGAAGCGUGCGAGGGGGGUGGGGUGGGGUGGAAAUAGCGGCUGCUUCUUUUCCAGGGAUUUAUUUAAUGGGGAUGUGUUCAAGGCAAGAGCGAAUUCAGAAGGAUAUCGACGUCGUGAUCCAGAAGUCCAGAGCUGAGAAGGACUGCCUGUUUGCAGCUUUAAAUCAUCUAGGAACUUCAUAUAAAAUUUAAUUCCAGUUUCAACUAGUUGUGGAGCAUUUGAUCCAAAAUAAAAUGAAAGUCCUCUCUGAAGUUGUAGAGGAGACUCAAGAAUCAGAACAGGGUUUCUUCCAACCUGAAGUUCUUUAAGUUAUGAGUUGAAGGACUAG
rnacentral:lncRNA from 1 species